UUCAAAACCUGAGAAGGGACAAGUUGCCUUGGCAACGCCGCGGCGACGUUUCGUCUCAGAGUCUGGCGCCUUUUCUUGUUUCUCUGCAGAUGGAGCGGUCGUUCAUCAUUUGGACGUUUCCGAGCCGGAUGACCUCUGGAUUAAUGCACAGGUUAACCAAGCGAACAGCGGCCCCGUAUGGACUCUUCUGCACCUCGUGGACAAACUGAGCCAGCUGAGAAUCUUCGUCGUCGUCCUCAUCACACAGCCUGUGGAGGAAACCCUGAGAAAUCAAAGCUGGAAAUGACACACAAACUCAUGCAGUCAUCCACACACACAAUCAA